rnacentral:rRNA from 1 species
GGAAUAUUGCACAAUGGGCGAAAGCCUGAUGCAGCGACGCCGCGUGCGGGAUGACGGCCUUCGGGUUGUAAACCGCUUUUGACAGGGACGGAGCGCAAGUGACUGUACCUGUAGAAUAAGGACCGGCCAACUACGUGCCAGCAGCCGCGGUAAUACGUAGGGUCCGAGCGUUGUCCGGAAUUACUGGGCGUAAAGAGCUUGUAGGCGGUUCGUCGCGUCGUUUGUGAAAACUUGGGGCUCAACCUUAAGCUUGCAGGCGAUACGGGCGGACUAGAGUACUUCAGGGGAGACUGGAAUUCCUGGUGUAGCGGUGAAAUGCGCAGAUAUCAGGAGGAACACCGGUGGCGAAAGCGGGUCUCUGGGAAGUAACUGACGCUGAGAAGCGAAAGCAUGGGUAGCAAA